rfam:Triticum aestivum genome assembly, contig: Triticum_aestivum_CS42_TGACv1_scaffold_021547_1AS
CCACCGCUCAGUUGGUAAAGCACAAGGCUUUUAACCUUGUGCACGUGGAUUCAAGUCCCAUGAUGGG